AUUGAACGCUGGCGGCAGGCCUAACACAUGCAAGUCGAACGAGUGGCGGACGGGUGAGUAAUGUCUGGGAAACUGCCCGAUGGAGGGGGAUAACUACUGGAAACGGUAGCUAAUACCGCAUACCAUCGGAUGUGCCCAGGUGGGAUUAGCUUGUAGGUGAGGUAACGGCUCACCUCGGCGACGAUCCCUAGCUGGUCUGAGAGGAUGACCAGCCACACUGGAACGGAGACAGGGUCCAGACUCCUACGGGAGGCAGCAGUGGGGAAUAUUGCACAAUGGGCGCAAGCCUGAUCCAGCCAUGCCGCGUGUGUGAAGACGGCCUUCGGGUUGUAAAGUACUUUCAGCGGGGAGGCGUUACCCGCAGAAGAAGCACCGGCUAACUCCGUGCCAGCAGCCGCGGUAAUUC
rnacentral:rRNA from 1 species